rnacentral:tRNA from 1 species
GGAAAUGUGCCUGAGUAUUUAAGGGUUACUUUGAUAGAGUAAACCACAGGGACUAAACCCCCUCAUUUCCU